UGUGCUGACCAAACCAUGUAGCCUGAAAUUAGGACAGAUUGAACAAAUAUUUUCUUGGCUAAGACUAUACUAUAUUGUCCGGCCCCCCCGACCCCCCAAAAAAGCGAGUUCUUUUCAAUACUAAUGCAGUGCUUCUGACAUGAAAGUAGCCCUGAUUUCAUUCUAAUUCUACAUCCUCCUAUCCAAGCAGGGCAGAAAUCAACUAGUUUGCAAUGCUGCAGUAUCAGCAAGCAUCGUGGGACUGGGAAAAGGUCCUAUACCGGAUACUCAGGCUACAUGCAUACAAGAGAGCUAAGACUUGCUUAAUAAUUACUCAGUGCAAAAUGAACCACUAAAACGGCAUAAAAUGAAGGCCAAAAGUCUAUUUAAGAAUCAACAUCCACCACACAUGCAAAGAAUGCUUGAGAAAUCUUAUGGUCCUAAAAUAACAGGGCCAGACCAAUAGUCAGAUAUCCCAGGCAGGCCAACAUCGAACAGCAUCAAGCUAAGGGGAGCCAAAGAAGCAGCACAUAGACCAGUGUGUUGCUCAGAAAAGUUAACCAGUCCAGACCAGGUUCAGCUACUGCCUUCUAUUGUUACACAGACUCACAGAUGUACACAUAACUCAGAGACCAGUCAAACAUUUAUUAGUGUUGUCCACAGAAUUCAAGCUAUUCUUCCAUCUUUAAAAUGUCCACAGUGAGUUUGUGCACAAAUAUUUUCUAUAAAACUUAAUAUAAUAAAGCAAGUUUUAGUACAUCAGUUCUAGGUGAAGAUUUUACUCAUUUCUGAAACUGACACAUUUUCUU